rnacentral:rRNA from 1 species
UACGUAGGGGGCGAGCGUUAUCCGGAAUUACUGGGUGUAAAGGGCGCGUAGGUGGUUGUAUAAGUCAGAUGUGAAAUUUCAGGGCUUAACUCUGAAAUUGCAUUUGAAACUAUAUAGCUCGAGUGCGGGAGAGGAGAGUAGAAUUCCCGGUGGAGCGGUGAAAUGCAUAGAUAUCGGGAGGAAAACCAAUGGCGAAGGCAGCUCUCUGGACCGCAACUGACACUGAGGCGCGAAAGCGUGGGUAGCAAACAGGAUUAGAGACCCUGGUAGUCCACGCUGUAAACGUUGGAUACUAGGUGUGGGGAGGAUUCAAUCUCUCUGUGCCGGAGCUAACGCAUUAAGUAUCCCACCUGGGGACUACGAGCGCAAGCUUAAA